UGGGGAAUAUUGCACAAUGGGCGCAAGCCUGAUGCAGCCAUGCCGCGUGUGUGAAGAAGGCCUUCGGGUUGUAAAGUACUUUCAGCGGGGAGGAAGGCGAUAAGGUUAAUAACCUCAUCGAUUGACGUUACCCGCAGAAGAAGCACCGGCUAACUCCGUGCCAGCAGCCGCGGUAAUACGGAGGGUGCAAGCGUUAAUCGGAAUUACUGGGCGUAAAGCGCACGCAGGCGGUCUGUCAAGUCGGAUGUGAAAUCCCCGGGCUCAACCUGGGAACUGCAUUCGAAACUGGCAGGCUAGAGUCUUGUAGAGGGGGGUAGAAUUCCAGGUGUAGCGGUGAAAUGCGUAGAGAUCUGGAGGAAUACCGGUGGCGAAGGCGGCCCCCUGGACAAAGACUGACGCUCAGGUGCGAAAGCGUGGGGAGCAAACAGG
rnacentral:rRNA from 1 species